rnacentral:rRNA from 1 species
AGAGUUUGAUCAUGGCUCAGAACGAACGCUGGCGGAAUGCUUUACACAUGCAAGUCGAACGAGUACUUUUUACGAGUGGCGGACGGGUGAGUAACGCGUGGGAACCUACCUUGAGGUAAAGAAUAACUACAGGAAACUGUAGCUAAUACUUUAUGUGCCCUACGGGGGAAAGAUUUAUCGCCUUUUGAGGGGCCCGCGUCAGAUUAGCUUGUUGGUGAGGUAACGGCUUACCAAGGCUCUGAUCUGUAGCUGGUUUGAGAGGAUGAUCAGCCACAUUGGGACUGAGACACGGCCCAGACUCCUACGGGAGGCAGCAGUGGGGAAUCUUGGACAAUGGGGGAAACCCUGAUCCAGCAAUUCCGCGUGAACGAUGAAGGCCUUAGGGUUGUAAAGUUCUUUUAGUAAGGAAGAUGAUGACGGUACUUACAGAAAAAGCUCCGGCUAACUCCGUGCCAGCAGCCGCGGUAAUACGGAGGGGGCAAGCGUUGUUCGGAAUUACUGGGCGUAAAGAGCGAGCAGGUGGUUCAUUAAGUCAAUUGUGAAAGCUCAAGGCUUAACCUUGAAAUUGCUUUUGAUACUGAUGAACUAGAGUUUGGGAGAGGAUAGUGGAAUUCUAAGUGUAGAAGUGAAAUUCGUAGAUAUUUAGAGGAACACCGAUAGCGAAGGCAACUAUCUGGCCCUUUACUGACACUCAGAAGCGAAAGCUUGGGUAGCAAACAGGAUUAGAUACCCUGGUAGUCCAUGCUGUAAACG